rnacentral:lncRNA from 1 species
UCGUUAAAAAAAUGAUAGCUAAAUAAACGGAUAUUAGUUUAUUUAUGAUGUGGCUGACACGUAUUUAUUGACAUGGCAAAUAAUUAAAACAAAGAAUACUAAUGUGAUCUGAUGCCCAAAUUCACAAGCUUAAGUCGACUGAUUUCAUGAUUGACUCAUCCUGAUCGGUUUCACGCGGAUAAUCACAAGCUGCUCAUCCUGAUGAUCAGAAGCUUAAGUCGAUCGAUUUCAUGACUGACGUCAAGCUCAAAAUGCCCAAACAUGAGUCAAUCCCCAAUCCUGUUUUGCGAUGGUGAGUAGUAUUCGAGUCUUCCAUUUUUGGCGAAAAAGCAAUGGUUAAUUAUUCGUCGGUUUGAGGGGCGGAAAAAGGUAAAUAGGAGCAUUUCUUGGGUGGAAUCCAUGGAAGGAUGAGGCUAAUUUCUCUAAUAUUUUUUUGUUUUGAUCUUCUUCUAUAUGUAUUGAAAUCCGAAUUUGGUUUUUUUUAGUUUUGGUUUUGAUUUCUCUUGGGAUCCUUGUUAUGCUUUCUUUGUGUAAAGAAUACACAUCCUCAGGAGUUUCAUGAUGAGUUCGAGUGGCCACUUGAUGAAUUGAAGGUGUUUGAAGAGGUUUCGAACGGUACCGAAAUCAUCGACGGAUCAGGGAAACGACGUCAUCGGAGGAGCAAUUGCGAAGCUGUGGUUGAUCUCUUCUCUCUAUCCCUUCCCCCAAUUUCUGAAAAUCAAUGACUAUAUUCGACUUCUUCGAUUAUGUUUAAUUUAGGGUUUCAUUAAGAGAGAUUGGGGCUUUAAGAUCAAGUUGGGUUUUUUCUGGCUUUAGGGUUUAAUUUAGGGUUUCUUCGAAGCAGUGGUUGUUUCUGACUUUAAGAUCAAGUUGGGUUUUUUUCCCCACUACUUUUUUAAGUUUAUUCAUGAGUCUGAGACUAACGAGCUCAAUCAUGUGAUUCAUUUGAUUACAGCUUUAGAUCUGAAAGCUUGAAGGUUGAUGAUGAGUUUAAUUUUGGUUAAAUUUGGGUUAUAGUAAUGUGUUUAGGUAAUGUGAUAUAUGAACUAUUUUUGGUUUAAAUUUUAAAGGAUUAAUUAAUUUUUAAUUAGUACAAACAUAAUUUUUUUCAUGUAUAAUUUGGUAAAUUAUAAUUUUUGUAUUUUAAUUUUUAAUAUUAAUUAUUCUUAAAUUAAAUAAUUAAUUUAUAGUAGUGUUAGUAUAAUUGUUUACUUUGUUUUAAUUAAGAGUUAAGUUUCUCUUUUCAGCCUAGUCAGCAAAAUUAGAUGAGGUGUCAGCUCCGUUAGUCUAUCUGUCAUUUUUUUUAACGAGAGGGGCAUAUUUGAGCUACGUUUUAUAACGUUAGAUGUACUUUUGAAAAAAAAAUUAAUUUAAGAUAAAAGUGGGACAUCUGUGUAAACAUAAGGGGUAUUUUUGAACCUUUGUCCGUAAAAUAUAUGAAUGUGUUGGGUUGAUAGAACAAUGUACGAAAAAUAAUUUAAAAAUAGUUGACAGGAAUAUAUAGAGACCCCCCAUGAUUCCAUGAACCAAACAAAGUGGUCACAUUGUAGAAUAAGGAAAAGUUAAAGGACUAUAAGUGGGAUAUGACUAGAUUCAUCAGUCAAUUGGCCUGCCCAAAUUCUCAUGCUUCGUACAUUGACAAGUGAAAAAAUAAAAUUUGUUUACUUUUAACAAUAAGAAAUGGAAUAAAUUGUCACUAAAAGAAGUUCUUUAGUGGAAUAUUUGUUUAUUUAAAUCCAUGACGAACAAUCAAAAAUUCUGAAAUAUUUGUGAGGCAAAGGGAGUACUAAGCAAUAAAAUAACUUCAUUAGUUUGCAAAAAUAAUAAUUUUAUUGGGC